rnacentral:rRNA from 1 species
UACGUAGGUGGCAAGCGUUAUCCGGAUUUACUGGGUGUAAAGGGAGCGUAGACGGCUGUGCAAGCCAGAUGUGAAAGCCCGGGGCUCAACCCCGGGACUGCAUUUGGAACUGCGUGGCUUGAGUGUCGGAGAGGCAGGCGGGAUUCCUAGUGUAGCGGUGAAAUGCGUAGAUAUUAGGAGGAACACCAGUGGCGAAGGCGGCCUGCUGGACGAUGACUGACGUUGAGGCUCGAAAGCGUGGGGAGCAAACAGG